CUCACUUUAUAUAGAUAAUAGAAUAUUUUCCCUCUUUGACACUGAAGUAGACACCAUGUGGUUCCUUCAUUUCUCAAACAUUUUAAUGUGGGGGGAGGGUCCUCUUGAUCCUUAGGGAAAAUAUGCUUUGUGUGGGUUUUAAAAUCUGGCAAAUUUUGGAAAGAAGAAAAGCAGGCAGUACUGUUGGAAAAAAAAAUUAGUCUGCUUGAACUUGCCUUUCUUGAAAAAAACAAAACACAACAUUCUUUCAUAAAGCAUUUUUUUCAAAAGUAUUUGCCCUUGAGCAUUUUUUCCUAGUUACCCAUGCUUAUCUUUCAAAACAAACAUUUAUUCCUUUCUACUAUAGAGUGAGGAAGUUCCUUUGAGGUUAUGCCCUACAAACCUAUCCAAGCAGUAACUGUCACCUCCUUCCUAUGGCACAACAAAUGACUAACUCAACCGCAGGCUGCUUGGAGCUUCGAGCAAGCGGUGAUUUCAUGAUGGGGGGGUGUUCAGAUGUUACUACCUAUGGGGCAAUUUCUCAAGGGGAAAAAACACACCACCGUAUUUCUGUGUGCAAAUAAAAUUUUGGGUCCUUUUGACCCAAUGGAAAAUGUGUGUCUGCUAGUGGCUGCCUAGUUGGAAUAAGAUGAUUUACUCUUGGAAACAUUUGUGUCAUUUAUCAUAUGAUGUUACUGGCCUACAGCACGACUGCAUAACAAAUAACCAUAUUAAAAAUUAAUCUUUUCCAGUUCAUCAGACUAUAUGUCUUUUUGAAGCACCACGUUUGCUCUUUUCCACUUGCCCUCUCUUCUCUUCCUGCAGUCAUUCUUUACAGUAAUCAUUCAUUGUGUCCAAAUUUUCAAAUUGAGUGAUUCAUAUCUACCAGUGAAGAUAAAAAGUCUCCACUCUAACUACCCAGACAUCUGAACAAGGUAUGAGCCACAUCCAUCAUUUGAAGAGAUCUGUACCUCCAAUUGUUUCUCCUAAGAGGCAAAGCAAGCAAUGACAG
ensembl:lncRNA